CGAGCUCACUCCGUCAGCGUCGAGUGUUCUGAGGAGAGAAGAUCAUCUCCUCCCACUGCAUUCGCAUCAUCAGUGAAGCUCCUCCCACAUUAAUCACAUCAUCAGUGAAGCUCCUCCCACAGUAAUCGCA